UACGGAGGGGGCAAGCGUUGUUCGGAGUUACUGGGCGUAAAGCGCGUGUAGGCGGCAGGGCAAGUCUGGUGUGAAAGCCCGGGGCUCAACCCCGGAAGUGCAUUGGAAACUGCUCUGCUUGAGUACCGGAGAGGAAGGGGGAAUUCCCGGUGUAGCGGUGAAAUGCGUAGAUAUCGGGAGGAAUACCAGUGGCGAAGGCGCCCUUCUGGACGGUUACUGACGCUGAGGCUCGAAAGCGUGGGUAGCAAACAGG
rnacentral:rRNA from 1 species